UACGGGGGGGGUAAGCGUUGUUCGGAAUUACUGGGCGUAAAGGGCUCGUAGGCGGCCAACUAAGUCGGACGUGAAAUCCCUCAGCUUAACUGGGGAACUGCGUCCGAUACUGGAUGGCUUGGAUUUGGGAGAGGGAUGCGGAAUUCCAGGUGUAGCGGUGAAAUGCGUAGAUAUCUGGAGGAACACCGGUGGCGAAGGCGGCAUCCUGGACCAAUAUUGACGCUGAGGAGCGAAAGCUAGGGGAGCAAACAGG
rnacentral:rRNA from 1 species